rnacentral:pre_miRNA from 1 species
UGUUAAAAAUUAUAUCUAUUUCUAAUGUUAAAAACUAGUGUGUUUAAUAAAAUAAUUAAAUAGUUAUACAAAAUGUGCCGUAUGUAUCUAAUGUUGAUAUACAAUAACUAAUUUUUAACCAUAAAUAUGAUGAAAUUUUUAAUA